rnacentral:rRNA from 1 species
UACGGGGGGGGCAAGCGUUGUUCGGAAUUACUGGGCGUAAAGGGCCAGUAGGCGGCCAACUAAGUCGGAUGUGAAAUCCCCAGGCUUAACCUGGGAACUGCAUCCGAUACUGGAUGGCUUGAAUUCGGGAGAGGGAUGCAGAAUUCCAGGUGUAGCGGUGAAAUGCGUAGAUAUCUGGAGGAAUACCGGUGGCGAAGGCGGCAUCCUGGACCGACAUUGACGCUGAACGGCGAAAGCUAGGGGAGCAAACAGG